AAACUAACAAGGAUUCCCCUAGUAACGGCGAGUGAAGCGGGAUGAGCUCAAAUUUAAAAUCUGGCGGUCUCAGAUCGUCCGAGUUGUAGUCUAGAGAAGCGUUUUCCGUGCUGGCCUGUGUACAAGUCCGUUGGAACACGGCGUCAUAGAGGGUGAGAAUCCCGUCCUUGACACAGAUCUCCAGUGCUUUGUGAUGCGCUCUCAAAGAGUCGAGUUGUUUGGGAAUGCAGCUCAAAAUGGGUGGUAAAUUCCAUCUAAAGCUAAAUAUUGGCGAGAAACCGAUAGCGAACAAGUACCGUGAGGGAAAGAUGAAAAGCACUUUGGAAAGAGAGUUAAACAGUACGUGAAAUUGUUGAAAGGGAAACGAUUGAAGUCAGUCAUGCUUUCCGAGACUCAGCCGGUUCUGCCGGUGUACUUCUCGGUUUGCAGGCCAGCAUCAGUUUUGGGCGGUGGAAAAGGUUGGCGGGAAUGUGGCAUCCUCGGAUGUGUUAUAGCCCGCUUUCGAAUACAUCGCCCGGGACUGAGGAACGCAGCACGCCUCUUGUAGGUCGGUCUUCGGACACGUCCGUGCUU
rnacentral:rRNA from 1 species